rnacentral:lncRNA from 1 species
CAUGCUUUUCUCUUCACUGUGAGCUUCACCUAUUCUGAUUGGCAUCUCAUUCACAACCAUCUCAUUCAGCCAUUGGGAAUGCUUGUCUAAUUGUUGGCCCCCACUAAUGAAUCACUAACAAACCUGCCUGGACCAAAUGAAGAAAUGAGCAACCAGUGGCUGUAUCAUUAGGUUCUUUCCAGACAAAAGAGAGGCCAGGAAAAGCUGAACUAAAUGUAGCCUCAGACAGUAUUUUUUGGAGUUGCAAAAGAAGAAUUUAAAGUAAGAGUCAGCCUGAGGAUUGUUUUCUCACCUCUGACAUGUUUGGAAUGUGCCAUCUUGGAGUNCAUUCGAUCCAACAU